rnacentral:rRNA from 1 species
GACGAACGCUGGCGGCGUGCCUAAUACAUGCAAGUUGAGCGCUGAAGGUUGGUACUUGUACCAACUGGAUGAGCAGCGAACGGGUGAGUAACGCGUGGGGAAUCUGCCUUUGAGCGGGGGACAACAUUUGGAAACGAAUGCUAAUACCGCAUAAAAACUUUAAACACAAGUUUUAAGUUUGAAAGAUGCAAUUGCAUCACUCAAAGAUGAUCCCUCGUUAUAUUAGCUAGUUGGUGAGGUAAAGGCUCACCAAGGCGAUGAUACAUAGCCGACCUGAGAGGGUGAUCGGCCACAUUGAGACUGAGACACGGCCCAAACUCCUACGGGAGGCAGCAGUAGGGAAUCGUCGGCAAUGGACGAAAGUCUGACCGAGCAACGCCGCGUGAGUGAAGAAGGUUUUCGGAUCGUAAAACUCUGUUGGUAGAGAAGAACGUUGGUGAGAGUGGAAAGCUCAUCAAGUGACGGUAACUACCCAGAAAGGGACGGCUAACUACGUG